rnacentral:lncRNA from 1 species
CUCUCCAGAAGUUUUUAUCUUUUUUCCUGAAUAAACGAGAAGACUUACACUUGAAAAGAAGACUGUAGCUGUGGGUCAGCAGAGAGCCACAGGUUACAAAAUACAGCAUGCGUAAGGAAUGAAAAAAACGGGAAAAAAAAACCCUCCAAGUACAGUU